CUGAACGCUGGCGGCGUGGCUAAGACAUGCAAGUCGAACGGGUGUAGCAAUACACCAGUGGCGGACGGGUGAGUAAUGUAUAGCUAACGUGCCCCUUGGACAGGGAUAGCCAUCCGAAAGGAUGGGUAAUACCUGGUGACAUAACCUGAUCGCAUGGUUGGGUUCUCAUAGGCCGUAAGGUGCCGAGGGAGCGGGCUAUAUUGUAUCAGCUAGUUGGUGAGGUAACGGCUCACCAAGGCGACGACGCAUAGCCGGACUAAGAGGUUGUCCGGCCACAUUGGGACUGAGACACUGCCCAGACUCCUACGGGGGGCUGCAGUAACGAAUCUUCCGCAAUGCACGAAAGUGUGACGGAGCGACGCCGCGUGUGGACGAAGUUCUUCGGAAUGUAAACCACUGUCAGGGGUUAGAAAGUUCUGAUCAACCCCAGAGGAAGGCACGGCUAACUCUGUGCCAGCAGCCGCGGUAAGACAGAGGUGCCAAGCGUUAGGCGGAAUCACUGGGCUUAAAGCGUGUGUAGGCGGAUUGACAAGUACCUUGUGAAAUCCCACGGCUUACCGUGGAACUGCUUGGUAUACUGUCUGUCUUGAGCUAUCUAGAGGCAACUGGAACAAACGGUGGAGCGGUGAAAUGCGUAGAUAUCGUUUGGAAUGCCAAAGGUGAAAACAGGUUGCUGGGGAUAUGCUGACGCUGAGACACGAAAGCCAGGGGAGCAAACGGGAUUAGAUACCCGGUAGUCCUGGCCCUAAACAAUGUCCACUAGAUCUCAGCAGCUCUGACGUUGUUGUGGGUCGUAGCAAAAGUGUUAAGUGGACCGCCUGGGAAGUACGGUCGCAAGGCUAAAACUCAAGGAAUUGACGGGGGCUCACACAAGCGGUGAGCAUGUGGUUUAAUUCGAAGCAACGCGCAGAACCUUACCUGGGCUUGACAUGCUGUGUUCAGUCGAUGAAAGUCGAUGGUGUAGCAAUACACGAACAGCACAGGUGCUGCAUGGCUGUCGUCAGCUCGUGUCGUGAGAUGUCGGGUUAAGUCCCUUAACGAGCGAAACCUUUGCCCUUAGUUGCCACCAGGUAAUGCUGAGCACUCUAAGGGGACUGCCGGUGUCAAACCGGAGGAAGGUGGAGAUGACGUCAAGUCAUCAUGGCCUUUAUGCCCAGGGCUACACACGUGCUACAAUGGCGUACACGGAGCGAACCGAAAGCGCGAGCUUAAGGAAAUCGCAGAAAUUACGCCCCAGUUCAGAUCGGAGGCUGCAACUCGCCUCCGUGAAGUUGGAAUCGCUAGUAAUCGCGGAUCAGCUACGCCGCGGUGAAUGUGUUCCUGAGCCUUGUACACACCGCCCGUCAAGUCAUGGGAGCCGAAAAUAGCCGAAGCCGUCACAAUACAGUGGUGCCGACGCUAGGUUCGGUGACUGGGACU
rnacentral:rRNA from 1 species